GACGAACGCUGGCGGCGUGCUUAACACAUGCAAGUCGAACGGAAAGGCCCUGCUUUUGUGGGGUGCUCGAGUGGCGAACGGGUGAGUAACACGUGAGUAACCUGCCCUUGACUUUGGGAUAACUUCAGGAAACUGGGGCUAAUACCGGAUAGGAGCUCCUGCUGCAUGGUGGGGGUUGGAAAGUUUCGGCGGUUGGGGAUGGACUCGCGGCUUAUCAGCUUGUUGGUGGGGUAGUGGCUUACCAAGGCUUUGAAGGGUAGCCGGCCUGAGAGGGUGACCGGCCACAUUGGGCCUGAGAUACGGCCCAGACGCCUACGGUAGGCAGCAGUGGGGAAUAUUGCACAAUGGGCGGAAGCCUGAGGCAACAACGCCGCGUUCGGGAUGACGGCCUUCUGGUUGUAAACCGCUUUCGCCUGUGACGAAGCGGGAGUGACGGUAAUGGGUAAAGAAGCACCGGCUAACUACGUG
rnacentral:rRNA from 1 species